CACCGUCCUUUCCUCUUCUUCGCCUCAUCGGAGCUCUCUUUAAUCCACAUUAUUCUCCGUUUUAAAUAACACACCCCCUUUAUUAUUAUUAUUAUUAUAAAUAAUACUACUAAAACUAAUCCCAUUCUUUCUCUCUCCACACAUGAACACACUCUCGCUCUCAUCUUAAGCUCCUGAACACCAGCACCCCCACUACGAACAUAACUACCCAAAAAAAAAAAAACAAAAAACAAAAAAAUCCCCAAACUCCACGGCUACUACUGUACACACAAUGUGGCUUCACCUAUCACUAUCUCUCUCACUUCUCCAGGUGAAGAAGAAGAAGAAGAAGAGAGAGAGCGAGCGCUAGAGCGGUCAGAGGAGUAAUCCCCCUCGCUCACAAGAAUUUUAUAUAUAUAUAUAUAGUUCGUAGGAGGAGGAGAUAGAUCGAGAUCUCACCGGCGAUCAUGGUGGCCGCCGCCGCCGCCGCCGCCGUCGCACCCGCACGAAACCCUUCUCCCCGGGAAGAUCUCGCUCGCCCCCCUCUGAUCCCCUCGGAGAGCAAUGGCGGCGCCGCCGCCUCCGCGGCAGCCGCGGCGCGGCGGCCCCGCGCGAAGGAGAUCGGGUCCCGCUACCUCUCCUCGUUCUCUUCGCCCUCGCCCGCGCCCUCGGCCUCCACUUCGUGCGCGUCCUCGACGUCGUCGUCGUCGUCGUCGAGCUCUUCGCGGCGGCUCCCGUCGCCGGUGCCGGCGCCGCGGCCCUCGGCGACCCCAGCAUUGCCCCAGUCGGCGGCGCCGCGGAGGUCGCACUCCGUGGGCCGCGCCCGCCCCGCCGCGCGGGCGGAUCCGCGGCCGCAGAUCCCCGCCGAGCCCCCUCCCCCGGCCCCGCCGCCGCCCUCCUCCGCCGCCGCGUCGCGCGCUAUCUGCACCACCACGAGGAGCCUCUCGGUGUCGUUCCAGGGCGAGUCCUUCUUCUACCAGACCAGCCGCGCCAAGGCCGCGGGCUCGCCGAAGCCCACCCCCGAGCGGCGGAGGCUCUCCACUGCAGCCGCCGCCGCCGCCGCCGGCGCGGCGUCUUCGAAGGCCGGGGAGCAGUCGGAGAACUCCCGGCCGUCGGAUCGCCACCACCGGUGGCCCGCCGCUAAGCCCCAGGCGUCCAAUCCCCUCGCCAGGAGCUUGGACUAUUCCUUAGAAUCAAAGAACUCGAUCCUGGCGACCGUACACUUGCUGCAACAGUCCAUGGUGUUCGAUGACGGUUUGAGGCGCGCCUCCUCCUUCGAUGCUGACGAUCUCUCUGCAUCGUCGGACACCGAUAGCGUCUCCUCUGGCAGCAAUUCGGGGGCACAAGAUCUCGGGGUGUCGGGACGAGCUAGGGUUUCUCAGAGGGGAAUUAGUGUUCCUGCGAGGUUCUGGCCGGAGACCAGCGGUCGGCUAGGUUUGGUGAAGAGAUCUUCAGUAGAUAGCCCUUUUUCAUCUCCUCGCUCGGCUUCUUCACCUCUCCAUGGACCAGUGAGGGCUUCGUCGCCGUGUAAGGUGAUGGCUUCGCCAUCGAGAGGGAUGGCCAGUCCUUUGCGGGGAAGGAGUGGAUCGGCGGUGAGCACUUCUUCUCCUGUUGGGGUUCAGCCGGCGAAUGCGCCCUCUAUCAUUAGCUUUGCUGUGGAGGUGAGGAGGGCGAAGAAAGGAGAGAACCGGAUCGAGGAAGCGCACGUGCUGAGGCUCUUGGACAACCGGCAUUUGCAGUGGCGGUUUGUGAACGCGAGGAUCGAUGCUCUGUUGCUAGUGCAGAGACUAACUGCAGAGAAAAAUCUUUACAAUGCAUGGAUUAGUGCCUUGAGGUUGCGUGAUUCUGUCACUAGUAAAAGGAUCAAGCUCCAACUUCUGAUGCAGAAUCUUAAGCUAACUUCCAUUCUUAAGGGACAGAUGUCUUAUCUGGAGAGUUGGUCUCUUAUGGAUAGAGAUCAUUCAAACUCUUUAUCAGGAGCUAUUGAAGCAUUAAAAGCUAGCACUCUCCGUCUUCCCGUUGUUGGUGGUGCAAAAGCGGACAUCCAAGAUGUUAAAGAUGCUGUUGGUUCGGCAGUUGAUGCAAUGCAGGCAAUGACAUCUUCAAUGAUAUCUUUGUUGUCAAAGGUUGAAGGGGCAAAUUCCUUGGUGUCUGAACUUGCGAAAGCGGCUUCUCAAGAACUAAAACUGUUGGAUCAAUCCAGAGAUCUCUUGUCCACUGUGGCUGCUUUGCAUGUGAAGCUAUGUAGUCUGCAGGGCCACAUAUUACAACGAAAGUGCAGGUCCAGUAAGCUGUAAUUGUAGAGCAGAUUCUCGUACUGAUCACUAACUUCACAGCGGGCUCUUUUGUUCCCAUGCCAACUGGAGAUUGUCCGAAAGGUCUCUUUGUCAAAUUCUGUAUGGUUUUUCCAACAGAAGAAUAAUGCGACAUGGAUUUCAUCAUCUGCAAAAAGAUGGCAUGACUAUUGAUUCAGCUGCCACGACUGCAUCGUCAUUUAUGUUAUCUAUUAGAGAAGUGCGAAAGUUGAAUUGCCUGCUGUAUAAUCCCUCUUUCAAGAGAAUUAAACCAACUCUGGGGACGAUUCAAUUGAAGUUUCAGUAAUCUAAAUGAAACUUUGAGAUACAAGUUCAGUGACCAAUGUGUAAGCUAAUCUGUUACAAUAGCUUUCUCUAAACUGCACGCGGCGAAAAGAAAUCAGGGGCUAUAUAUGAUUUUGUUCUACAUCAAAACUCUGGUCGAAGUUGA